GCAGCCGCGGUAAUACGUAGGUGGCAAGCGUUGUCCGGAUUUAUUGGGCGUAAAGCGAGCGCAGGCGGAAGAAUAAGUCUGAUGUGAAAGCCCUCGGCUUAACCGAGGAACUGCAUCGGAAACUGUUUUUCUUGAGUGCAGAAGAGGAGAGUGGAACUCCAUGUGUAGCGGUGGGAUGCGUAGAUAUAUGGAAGAACACCAGUGGCGAAGGCGGCUCUCUGGUCUGCAACUGACGCUGAGGCUCGAAAGCAUGGGUAGCGAACAGGAUUAGAUACCCUGGUAGUCCAUGCCGUAACGAUGAGUGCUAGUGUUGGGAGGUUUCCGCCUCUCAUGCUGCAGCUAACGCAUUAAGCACUCCGCCUGGGGAGUACGACCGCAAGGUUGAAACUCAAAGGAAUUGACGGGGGCCCGCACAAGCGGUGGAGCAUGUGGUUUAAUUCGAAGCAACGCGAAGAACCUUACCAGGUCUUGACAUCUAGUGCAAUCCGUAGAGAUACGGAGUUCCCUUCGGGGAC
rnacentral:rRNA from 1 species